rnacentral:rRNA from 1 species
UUCCGGUUGAUCCUGCCGGAGGUCACUGCUAUUGGGAUUCGACUAAGCCAUGCGAGUCGAGAGGGUUCGGCCCUCGGCUGACGGCUCAGUAACACGUGGAUAAUCUGCCCUUAGGUGGAGGAUAAUCUCGGGAAACUGAGGAUAAUACUCCAUAGAUCUAGGAUGCUGGAAUGCAUUUAGAUUGAAAGCUCCGGCGCCUAAGGAUGAGUCUGCGGACUAUCAGGUUGUAGUCAGGGUAAAGACCUGACUAGCCUACGACGGAUACGGGUUGUGAGAGCAAUAACCCGGAGACGAUAUCUGAGACACGAUAUCGGGCCCUACGGGGCGCAGCAGGCGCGAAAACUUCACACUGUGCGAAAGCGCGAUGAGGGAAUCCCAAGUGUUUGCUCGUAAGAGUAAACUGUUUCUUUGUUUAAAACGCAGAGAGAGUAAGGGCUGGGUAAGACGGGUGCCAGCCGCCGCGGUAAUACCUGCAGCUCAAGUGGUGAUCAUUAUUAUUGGGCCUAAAACGUCCGUAGCCGGUUUAGUAAAUGCCUGGGUAAAUCGUGUAGCUUAACUAUACGACUUCCGGGUAGACUGCUAAACUUGAGACCGGGAGAGGCUAGAGGUACUCCUGGGGUAGAGGUGAAAUUCUGUAAUCCUAGGGGGACCACCAGUGGCGAAGGCGUCUAGCUAGAACGGGUCUGACGGUGAGGGACGAAGCCCUGGGGCACAAACCGGAUUAGAUACCCGGGUAGUCCAGGGUGUAAACGCUGCUUGCUUGAUGUUAGUUGGGCUCCGAGCCCAACUAGUGUCGGAGAGAAGUUGUUAAGCAAGCUGCCUGGGAAGUACGGUCGCAAGGCUGAAACUUAAAGGAAUUGGCGGGGGAGCACAGCAACGGGUGGAGCGUGCGGUUUAAUUGGAUUCAACGCCGGG